rnacentral:rRNA from 1 species
UACGGAGGGAGCUAGCGUUGUUCGGAAUUACUGGGCGUAAAGCGUGCGUAGGCGGUUAUUCAAGUCAGAGGUGAAAGCCCGGGGCUCAACCCCGGAACUGCCUUUGAAACUAGAUAGCUAGAAUCUUGGAGAGGUCAGUGGAAUUCCGAGUGUAGAGGUGAAAUUCGUAGAUAUUCGGAAGAACACCAGUGGCGAAGGCGACUGACUGGACAAGCAUUGACGCUGAGGCACGAAAGCGUGGGGAGCAAAC